CCCUGCCAUUUGUACACACCGCCCGUCGCCUCAAUCGACUGGAUGAUCCGGUGAAUGACUCGGACUGGAGGUUUGUUGGAAACAAUAAAUUUCUAGGAAGUUUUGUGAACCAAAUCAUUUGGAGAAUG
rnacentral:rRNA from 1 species